UAGUUACUCCCUCCGUCCGGAAAUACUUGUCGGAGAAAUAGAUGUAUCUAGACGCAUUUUAGUUCUAGAUACACCCAUUUUUACCCAUUUCUUCGACAAGUAUUUCCAGACGAUGCGUCUAGAUACAUCUAUUUCUCCGACAAGUAUUUCCGGACGGAGGGAGUAUUUG
rfam:Triticum aestivum genome assembly, contig: Triticum_aestivum_CS42_TGACv1_scaffold_221802_3B